rnacentral:rRNA from 1 species
GAUGAACGCUGACAGAAUGCUUAACACAUGCAAGUCAACUUGAAUUUGGGUUUUUACCUUAGGCUUGGGUGGCGGACGGGUGAGUAACGCGUAAAGAACUUGCCUCACAGCUAGGGACAACAUUUGGAAACGAAUGCUAAUACCUAAUAUUAUGAUAAUAGGGCAUCCUAUAAUUAUGAAAGCUAUAAGCGCUGUGAGAGAGCUUUGCGUCCCAUUAGCUAGUUGGAGAGGUAACGGCUCACCAAGGCGAUGAUGGGUAGCCGGCCUGAGAGGGUGAUCGGCCACAAGGGGACUGAGACACGGCCCUUACUCCGACGGGAGGCAGCAGUGGGGAAUAUUGGACAAUGGACCGAGAGUCUGAUCCAGCAAUUCUGUGUGCACGAUGAAGUUUUUCGGAAUGUAAAGUGCUUUCAGUUGGGAAGAAACAAAUGACGGUACCAACAGAAGAAGUGACGGCUAAAUACGUG